rnacentral:lncRNA from 1 species
CAUAUAGAAGUUCUCAGGCUAGGGAGCUGCUGUCCUGCACCACAGCCACAGCAAUGCUGGAUCCGAGCUGCAUCUGCGACCUACACCACAGCUCAUAGCAAUGCCAGAUCCUUAACCCAUUGAGCGGGGCCAGGGAUCAAACCCACGUCCUCAUGGAUACAAGUCAGGUUCAUUACCGCUGAGCCACGAUGGGAACUCCCUAUAUUACAUUUUAAAUUAAAUCCCCAGUUGGGUCACUCUGAUGUGGGAGCUGCAUACGGAAGGGUACAGAGCUAAAGUUCUAGACAAACUAAAGGUUAAAGCAAACCUACACUGAAUUUGAGAAUUUAACCCAGAUCUUACGUAAUACCGUCCUUCUUUGGAGAGGAAAAGCUGUGUGCCUAAACAAGGGUUUCAGCCUCUGCAAUUGGUAAUAACACAGAGACGUCACGUCUCCAUGCCUGGUAAUUCCGUCCAGGACCUCUUGUACGAGCGUGCAAAACGAAGUACUCAGGUAAACAAGAUACAACCGAGGCGAUGAUUGCUGCAUUUUUGGUUGAAAACCUUAUGUUUGGAGCCUAUAAAAAUGGUAAUAAUAACAAAUUUCUUCACAGUGAUGCAGCAGAAUGGAAUAGAAGUAAAGAUGCCUAGCUGUACCUCAUUAAAAGCAGUCCUGUAAGAGAUCCACACCCCUUAAAAUCCUUUUCCCCUGCGGUUCAUGAGCAUGUGUGUGCAUGUGCGUGUGUGCGUAUUCCAAGAUUCCACUUGUGAUUACAAUAUACAGAUGAAUUCACGUAUAUGUAUAUUUGUACAUGCAUGUCUUAGAUAUACAUGUAUGUACUCGGGUAGCACGUACACAAACAUACAUAUGAAUAUCUUAUCAUAUAUAAGAUACGAUUCCAAUAGCUGACAAAUCACUACCAUAGACGAAAUCAAUGCAUAAAGUGGAACCUUGGGAGUAGCUAACGAAUUAGCAUCAUUUAGUGUAAGUGGUUAAAUUACAUUUUUUUUUUCAUUUUCAAGUGGGGGUUCUGAAGCCAUGAGGACACAAUCAGAUGGAACAUCAAAGCAGUUAUGACCCAAAACACAUUUUCUAGAAAUUCAAAAUCCUCUCCAUCUAAAUCCACACGUCAGACUCUUGCUUUCUGUUUAGACCGAUUUCCUAAUUCACUGAAUUUCAAGACACAGCACGUAUAAAAUGGCCACUGGACUCACCAGAAUGUUCCGAAAAGGAAUCUUUUUCAAAAGGCCAAUUAGCAAACAAUGCAAAGAGCUUUCAGAACAGAAUGGUGCUAAUAGCUUUUAAUAUUUUAGGAAAUUCUAAGGAGAUUAUGCACAUUGCUUAUUUAAUUCUCCAUGUCUCUCCUUUUCUUUCUCUGGUUCAAAAUCCUUAUUUUGCUGCUUCACGCCAUCUUCAUAUUGUCAGUUUCAUCCUGAACUUCGGUGCCCUAAAAAAGACCUACCUGUGCCAAGGGCACUUCAAAGAAGAACGGGGCCCCAUUUCGAUUCUGCAGACAUUAUUACAACUUAUUUUUAUAGAGUCAAGCCAAGCCAAAUGGAACGCAUUUUCAAUAGCUGACAAUUACCAAAAUAGCCCACAGUAUAAAUUGUGUCUCCUGUAAUAUAUCGAGCUUCUUCCAAAAGAGGAACUAAGAGAUAGAUUCCAUUUUAGCCAGUUAGGGUAUAUCCUCAUACUUUUAAUUUUAGAAUCAGGCUGUUAAAUUAAAAGUCUGAAAACUGCUACCGAUUUGGGGCACGCAUCUCCACAGGGGUGGAGCAGACACAGUCUUUUUGUUCCCUGGGUAAAGCACCUUGCCUGGGGGAAGAAAGGUGCAGAAACCACCCAUAUUUCUCAAAACCAGGGAUUCCCUCCGCCCUGCAAGAGUAUGCAAGGCUUCAAGUCUGACUUUCUCAGACAGGCAGAGGGAGGAACCAGGGACCUGAGUUCAAAAGAGCUGUCAAAGAGUCUUAGGUAUAGGCUCCCCCAAGAAAAUGAUAAGAUCUGUGCUAAUCACGUCCUGAGUAAGCUGACUUUCUGGCCAACCUCUAGCACUAUUUUAAAGCUUCUCUUUCGGCUCGUGAGAGUUCCGUUUCAUGAUUUGCAUCUUGUAUCUCUCCUUCACAGGCAAGCCAGCUCGCUAUAUUCAUUUUUAUUCCAACAGUUGCUUUAAAGACGUCUUGACAGAAGAUGUGAAGAGUGUACGUGUAAUGAAUGAAUUUCAUCUGUGAGGUAAAUUGAUGUUAUCGUCCUAUGAUAAUUCUAUCAUAAACUUAGUCAAAAUAGACAAAUUUCCCCGUGACAGUUACUUUUUACGCAGCACCCAAUUGUUUAGAUGAAAGGUAAAAUUCUCUAUCAUCUAAUUAAAUGCUUUCUGAUUUCUUUUAAAACUGGGAAUUUCUUUUCCAACAUGGAGUAUUUUUAAUAUAUUGGUAUUUUUCAGAAGCCAAAGAAAGAUGCUCAAAUAGAAACCAUGAUGGGACGAGGCUGGUCUGUGGUCCCAGAAUCUUGCCCAAAUGACCUCUUUGCCCUUCUCCAGAGAGAACACUGCUGCCUCAGAUUUUACCUUAUCCACUAUUAGUCUGGAGGUUUAAAUGAUGAAAAUGCCAACUACACAAGUACCUAGACAGCAAAACUGCUCUGAUCAAGGAUAGAUAACUAGGUGUGUACGUCUUUCUAUGUACUCAGAGGUAACACCAAUAUAUUAACCAGUAUAUAUUAACCACCUACUACAUGCAAAUUACAUACAAGGCAUGGUGUUGAACUUCGAGUCCUAUAUAUAUGGUUUUGAAAUGUGGUUUUUUUUUGAGAAAUUAAUUAUGGGUUUUUUUAAUUCAUGAAAUCUGAACCUACAUCCUACCUUUGUCACUGUGUGACUUUGGGCAAACUACUAACAUGUUCUCAAUAUUGUUUUCCUCAUUUGGAAAAAGAGUAAAUGUUCUCCACUUCUCUCUGUUAUCUGUGGGGUUGAAUAAGAUCAGAGAUGGAGAAGAGCCAGCACAAUUCCCAGCACGCUGUAGACACUUGGAGAAUGUGAACUGAAUGAGCGAAAUAUAUGAGCCACUAUCUCAGCCAUUCACAAACUGACCAUCUACUGAGAAAUAGAAAUUAACACCAAUGUAAGUUCAUUUAGUCAAGGUCAAGAUGAGGGUUGGUGGGGCUUACAGGUCCCUUCCUCCGCAGGGUCAUGAUCAGGUGGAUGUUUGUUACGUUGAAAGUUACCAGACGCAGUUCUUCCAGGCAUCCGAACCUUUGAAUGUUAGCUAACAGAUUGAAAUAAUGCCGCCCAAUCCAUCCCUGUAAGCUCUGGGGUGUCCCAGCUCUUCUUCCUGCACACACUCUAAUACCUGCAGUAUUUUGCAGGGAGGUUCUCGCAAGAAAGAUGAGAACAUAUGUUAGCGGUCGGAUUCAUCUAAACUUCUGAUCUGCUGGGAGAAUUCUCCAUUAAGUGACGGUGUACGGGAGCCACGAGGCACACCAGCUUCUUAUUCUUUCUCAAGCAGAGGCAGGAAUAAUCCACACCUUUAGACACUAGGAUUCAUUUCACCCAAGAAAAGUCAUUUUUAAUAUAAGCUACUUCGGGAACCCUCUAAUGUUGAUAUGGCUUAAAUGGCUCCAGGCUUUGAAAAGCUACCUGCAGAAAGUGCCCUCAUAAUUAGAGCCUUUCACAUACUAACAGCUCUGAGGGGCUGUUACUGCAAAUUCAAUGUAUUCCUAAUGUUAGCUCAGCAUCCUGAAAGUAUUGAUUAAAAUACUGUGUUGUUGAAACUCUAGUAUUGUAAACUAAAACAAUAAAACAGAUACAUUUAAAACACUGAUAUGAUGCCUAGUAAGGCAAGGGCCUAAAAUUUCAUGAAGGCUUUAAAAUGUCGUGAAAGCUUUAUUCAUGAAAUCUGAUCUUAACUCCUGCCUCCUUUACUAUGCCAUGCUAUGCUAUUGUGUCUCACAUAGCCACAGAUGCUUCCAUGGAGACCUGCUCUAACCAUUGUCCCUGAGGAAAAGGGAUGCCUCAGCACUGCUGUGAAUACAUGAUGCUGACAUCAGCCUGUGCGGACCCACAGCUGAUUGGACCAGGGUUGCAUAAUUAUGGCUGCAUAGUUUCUCCAUUAACACGUUAUUGACAUUCGAAGCAAGACAGCACUUCAUUAUAUGUGACUGGCUCACACAUUACAGGCCACGAUAUUCCUGCCCCCUGUUCAGUCAUCUCAACAGUUACAGCCAUUCACAUAUUUUGAAUUUCUGGGGUUGGAGCUGGGAGGAAGUACCAUAACCAGUUGAGAACCACUGGGCUAGCCGAUGAGGUGGCCAGGUAGGGUAGGAGUCACUGGAGAAUUCAAUUUCUAGGACUUACUUAGAGAAAUUAUAAGCAAGCCCGCCCCCCACACACACAUACCCCCUCCAGUGGAUAUAAGACCUUGGACGAGAACACAAACAGUAGCUAAAUUAUCAUCUAGCCGAAAUAUUUAACAAUUAUACAUUAGGUCAACAGGCUGUUUAAUGGUCUAUCUUCCUUCCUAACUCCAAAGAAACAAUUUGACAAAUGUAUCUAUGUAAAGUCCUAGAAUGUCAGAUUAAAUUUUUGGAUUCUCAGAACUUUGUCCUUUUCUGUCAAAAGAUGGCUGCAUGGGGAAAGGCAGGGACUGCUCCUGGCUUGAGAUCUGUUCUCUCGUCUCUUCCUACCCUUUCUCCUUCCUCAUCACAGGAGACCUUGCAUGCAUGCACAUGGAGCUCUCAGCCCACAUGUCUAAAUUCUAACUAUAUUUUUACAAAGAGCUGGCCACCUCUCUGGAAGCCCUGGAAGAAGGUUCUGGGUCCUCAGAGGAGGGACUUUCAGGGACCCUUGUCACCGAGUGUGGUCUAGCAGAGGCAG